rnacentral:rRNA from 1 species
UAUAAGAGGUCCAGCCUGCCCAGUGACCUAGUUCAACGGCCGCGGUAUCCUAACCGUGCGAAGGUAGCGUAAUCACUUGUUCUUUAAAUGAGGACUAGUAUGAAUGGCACCACGAGGGUUACACUGUCUCCUUUUUUUAAUCAGUGAAACUAAUUUCCCCGUGAAGAAGCAGGGAUUUUUCUAUAAGACGAGAAGACCCUAUGGAGCUUUAAACAAACUAACACUUGCUGCCCAAAAUAGUUUUCUCAGGAAACAUGACAUACAGCUUAGCAAGAUGAUUAAUAGUUUUCGAUUGGGGUGAUCACGGAGUAAAAAAUAACCUCCAUGCCGAAAGGACCCUUCCCUGAGCAAAAAGCCACAACUUUAAGCACUAAAAAAUUAACGUUUAUUGACCCAAUAUUUUGAUCAACGAACCAAGUUACCCUAGGGAUAACAGCGCAAUCCACUUCAAGAGCUCCUAUCGACAAGUGGGUUUACGACCUCGAUGUUGGAUCAGGGUAUCCCAGUGGUGCAGCCGCUACUAACGGUUCGUUUGUUCAACGAUUAAAACCCU